rnacentral:miRNA from 1 species
CUACAGUGGAACAGUACAAACAUCUCUCUCCUCUAUCUUCAUUCCUCUCUUGCUGUCUUUCUACCUCUCUCUUUCCACACAGAUUUGUCCUUUGAGAAUCAAACAUGUGAAGGACGAACGUGUGUGGAAAGAGCGAGACGUAAAGGGACAGCAAGACAGAGAAAUGAAGAUGGAGUAGAGAGAUGUUUGUACUGUACCACCGUA